rnacentral:lncRNA from 1 species
UCCGAACGUCGGGUCCCAUUGCUAGAUGAUUACAUCGAUUGAUUCAAAAAUCUAUUUCUAUGCUACUGACUUAGGUUCGAACUUAUGGGGUCAUACUCAAAAGAAGUUUCUGACUGAUCAUGUGGCUGAUCAAUGAUUGAAAAUCGUUCAAGAGUUUAAUCAUUAAUUCGAUUGAUGGUUAACCUUAUACAAAAAUUGUAAUAAAUUUAUUCACUAAGUGUUAGUGAAUUAAUAAAGAAUUAAUUAGUAAUUAGAUUGCUAAUUAGCUCAAUUUGAUUAAGCAAAGAGGAUUAGGUCAAAUCUAAUUGAAUUAAAUUCAAUUAGGUUUGAUCCG